GUGUUUGAAGCUUCUUGGUGCAAGAUUCAGUGCUGCUACAAAAACUUUGUGAGCAAGGCACAAGCCACCCUGCCCAGAGACCAAGAACUGGGUGCUGACAGCCGUUCCUGGGAGGCUUUUGGAGGUGUGAUGCCUGGGUCCAGAGUUUUCUUCUGCAGAUUCUUCUCUCCCUGCAAGGAAGUGGAGAGAGACUGGCCUUGGCGCUGAUUGAUUGCAGAUGAAUCCCAGUCCUUCUUUUACUGUGGGGCUAUCUUAACGCCUCUGAACUUCUGUCUUCAGGUGCGCAAACACAGGCUUCAGUACUCCCUUCCCUUUGGGAGGGGCAGGACCAAGGACUGGCGGCCUGCGGCUG
rnacentral:lncRNA from 1 species